CUGAGUACGGCGGAACACGUGAAAUUCCGUCGGAAUCCGGGAGGACCAUCUCCCAAGGCUAAAUACUCCCUAGUGACCGAUAGUGAACCAGUACCGUGAGGGAAAGGUGAAAAGCACCCCGGAAGGGGAGUGAAACAGUUCCUGAAACCGUGUGCCUACAAGUAGUUAGAGCCCGUUAAUGGGUGAUAGCGUGCCUUUUGUAGAAUGAACCGGCGAGUUACGAUUUGUUGCAAGGUUAAGCGGAAAAAGCGGAGCCGUAGCGAAAGCGAGUCUGAAUAGGGCGCAUAAGUAACAGGUCGUAGACCCGAAACCAGGUGAUCUACCCAUGUCCAGGAUGAAGGUAAGGUAAUACUUACUGGAGGUCCGAACCCACGCACGUUGAAAAGUGCGGGGAUGAGGUGUGGGUAGCGGAGAAAUUCCAAUCGAACUUGGAGAUAGCUGGUUCUCUCCGAAAUAGCUUUAGGGCUAGCCUCGAGGUAAAGAGUCAUGGAGGUAGAGCACUGUUUGGACUAGGGGCCCUUCUCGGGUUACCGAAUUCAGAUAAACUCCGAAUGCCAUGUACUUAUACUCGGGAGUCAGACUGCGAGUGAUAAGAUCCGUAGUCGAAAGGGAAACAGCCCAGACCACCAGUUAAGGUCCCCAAAUAUAUGUUAAGUGGAAAAGGAUGUGGGGUUGCUUAGACAACCAGGAUGUUGGCUUAGAAGCAGCCACCAUUGAAAGAGUGCGUAAUAGCUCACUGGUCGAGUGACCCCGCGCCGAAAAUGUACCGGGGCUAAACAUAUUACCGAAACUGUGGAUGAACCUCUUUAGAGGUUCGUGGUAGGAGAGCGUUCUAAGGGCGGUGAAGUCAGACCGGAAGGACUGGUGGAGCGCUUAGAAGUGAGAAUGCCGGUAUGAGUAGCGAAAGAAGGGUGAGAAUCCCUUCCACCGAAUAUCUAAGGUUUCCUGAGGAAGGCUCGUCCGCUCAGGGUUAGUCGGGACCUAAGCCGAGGCCGAUAGGCGUAGGCGAUGGACAACAGGUAGAGAUUCCUGUACCAGUGCUAAUUGUUUAACCGAUGGGGUGACACAGAAGGAUAGGGAAUCGCACGAAUGGAAAUGUGCGUCCAAGCAGUGAGUGUGAGAAGUAGGCAAAUCCGCUUCUCGCGAAGCAUGAGCUGUGAUGGGGAAGGAAAUUAAGUACGGAAGUUCCUGAUUUCACGCUGUCAAGAAAAGCCUCUAGGAAGAGUAGUACUGCCCGUACCGCAAACCGACACAGGUAGAUGAGGAGAGAAUCCUAAGGUGAGCGAGAGAACUCUCGUUAAGGAACUCGGCAAAAUGACCCCGUAACUUCGGGAGAAGGGGUGCUCUAUUAGGGUGCAAGCCCGAGAGAGCCGCAGUGAAUAGGCCCAGGCGACUGUUUAGCAAAAACACAGGUCUCUGCA
rnacentral:rRNA from 1 species